GGGGGGGGGGGGGGGGGGGGGGGGGGGGGGGGGGGGGGGGGGGGGGGGGGGGGGGGGGGGGGGGGGGGGGGGGGGGGGGGGGGGGGGGGGGGCCCCCGCCACGGCUCCGCCGCCGGGCCGCUGCCCAUGUCCCAGCUCUGCUCGCCGUCCGCGCUCGCUGCCGGCACGGCCGGUGCCCGCCUCCGCUGCGGGGACGCCGCGCUUUGGAAGCCUUCCCGGAGCGCGCGGGGGUGCUGGCGCAGGUCGGGCGAUUACAUGCGGACACUUCACUUUCAGCCAUGCCUGCCCCGGGAGCUCUCUGUCUGCUACCGAACCCAAACAUCAUCAGAGCCACAUGGUUUUGUUAAGCUACUGGAAAUAACUUUUGCCUGGGAUUUACUGCAGCAUUCCCUCCCGGCCUGGCCCCUGCGGACUCCAGCAGGCUCACUGCCUAACAGUUAUGAAGACUCUUCGAUGUGUUUCAUGUGACCUUUGGGCAGAUCGUGGAGCUUUCUAUUUUAUUUUGUGGGGCCUUGAGUCGGGAUCUUCUUAACGUGUGCUUGGAAGUGGUCAUACCGGAACUCGGGCACGCACAGAAACAGUGCGAGAGAAGCCAGAUACACCGUAACUUUCUGCCCGAUACCUGUUGGGCUUCGUGUCUAAACUUUGGUAGUGUUUGGGGGCCUUUUUUAUUUCUUGGAAACUUCCAACCAUGAAGAGGAGUUCCGUGUUUUAUUAAUUAUCUUUUAGAACUCCCCCCAGAAUCAGACUGUGAGCAUGUAUUCCUAAGGGAAAAGUGAAGCUGAUCUCCAAACUUCAAUGAAGCACUUCUGGCAUGAGGAAGAUGGAAGGGAUCAACUCAAUUUGGAAGGGAACGGUACCGGAGCAAGCCUUCUUGUCACCAUAAAUUCAAGGAAUACCGCCUGCCUCAUUUCUGGGAAGGAUACCAAUCGGUGCAGAUAACAUUAAGGUUGUGCUUGUGCUGUGGGAAAUGCUAGCAAGAAGGUGAGGUGUUUCUCCAGGGUAUUUGGGAUGGAUGUUUUGAACCUCCGGAUCUUCCUAACUCUUGGCCAGGAGACAGGAGGCCUCCACAUCCGCGGGGAGACCUCCCCGUGCCUCAUCUCCGCGGGACUGAGGAGCUCCUAAUGCUCCCUGAACACCCAAACUGACUUCUUGCUUGCAACCUGUUUUGCUGAUCCUUCUGGAUUUAUCUGCCGGAGGAGAGACUCGCCAUUUAGGAGGGUUUUUUGUUGGUUUUUUUGGUUUGGUGUUUUUUUUUUGUUUUUUUUUUAGUUUGUUUGUUUAAAAUAUGCCUCUGAGCUCCCGGCGGCCUCUGAGCACGUGGCACGGGGCGAGAAGAGCGGCGAUGGCGAGAGCCGGCGUCGGCGGGGAGCCGGGGGGGGGGGGGGGGGGGGGGGGGGGGGGGGGGGGGGGGGGGGGGGGGGGGGGGGGGGGGGGGGGGGGGGGGGGGGGGGGGG
rnacentral:lncRNA from 12 species